GCGUACCAGUUACGGCGGCGCCAAAUCUGUGUGUUCCUCCUUCAACCAUCUUCUAAUCUUCUUCACUAGCCGUGCCCUCCUCCAUUAACUACCACCACUAAAUGGGUUUUGUGUCUCAUAAGCCCUGGAGAGAGAGGGAAGGAAAAUGGUUGAUUCGGGUAUUCGGUACGAGCGGAAUCGGAAACGGGGUUUCACAUUCGAUGAAAAAGGAAGGGUUUACGGAAUCUGCUUCCGGUGAAUGAUGAAGUUUUAUCACCUGGUCAACUAAGAUCUAUAACUUUGCACGGGUCAUCUAACUGCAAGCAGCAACCUAUACAGCUUCGGGGUUGUUCUCUUAGAAAUGUUAUGUGGUCGAAAAGCACUGCUGAAGACACCCGAGUUGAGAUCCCAAGUACGGACCAACCAUGGAAGAAGUCCUAGCUUCACUAGAAGGGCUUCAGGAUUCUACAGGACCUACGUCUUCCAAACCUUCUCUCCAAAUACAGUGGGUUAAGCUAAAAAACAGUAAUGAGUUCUUUAAUUUUGAGGCGUACAAGUUGAAGAAGAAAAUGGAAACUUAAGGGCAGAAGUAUAAGAGUGCAGCAUCCCUGUCGUCCAAAUCAUUUAGAUGCGUAUUAAAAUGGACAUGCAAUAUCUUCAAAAUAACUUACAGAUGAUUCUUCCUAAAAUUGCGAUGCUGAGACGAAGCAAGUGACAUAGGGAGAUCAUAUUGUAGCUGAAAAAAGCUCAAGGACGGUGCUUCCAGUGCUGAAUUCUCUUAAGAAACUUACUGCGUCUGAACUCUGCACCGAUCAAUUUGAAGUAUUUUUAUUUUGCAUCAUCCUUCAGUUUCAUUUCAAGCUGGCUAAAUUUCCCAGUGGCAUGGUUAACUGAUUGCCGUAAUGACUUCUCUCCUCCCAUUAGUGAAUGACAAUUGAGCUAAAUGACCCUAUUUAAUGCUGCUCCAAAAGCCAACUAAUAUGGUGGUCAUGGUAUGAAAAAAGUUGCAAGACCUACAUUAUUACAGUUUUGGUAAGGAUUUUAGGAAAUUGUCUAGUAAAUAAUCUAGCAUUUCCUUUUAUAUUUUCUCUGGGUACAGUAACGACAAUUGAAAUUCAACCCAGAGAGUGUAUGAGAAGCACAUGUCUAGUUUCUCCCUGUAAUUCUGUAACUACUAAGGAAUGCUACCAGUGGAUGACGUCUCAACAAACUGCUCCUAUCACAGUAUCUCCAAAAUGCAAUAUGGGUAAAGAAAGAAGAGAGAGGGAAGAGGAGCACUCAGGUUUCAGACUUUUGGUUGGUUCACUAUUUCAACAUGCAAUCGCAACAGUGGACAGUCUCAUUAGAAGAGGAGUGGCAAUUACAGUUACAGAUGAGAAUGGACCAUCUUAUGCACCAAUUAGAAUGGCAAACAAGAGGCCCAAGGAUCUUGAUUCUCUGAUUAUAUAAGUGAAAAGUUUAUUAUUUCUGUGGGGUUUUAGCCUCAAACUGGUUUCUAUUCAUUUCAUUUAAGGAACUCAUAUGCUUCAAAUUUUUUUCUUUUGAAGGAACUCAUCACUUGUUGGUCUGACAUCCUUAUGCUUAUGCUCGUCUCUUUAGAUUCUAAGCUGUAUCUUGUCUGGUGUUUCGAUAUUGUUUUUACUUCAAUAAUGUUUCAACAUUAAAAA